UCUUCCAGUUCGUCAACUUCUACUCCUCACCCGUCUACAUUGCCUUCUUCAAGGGCAGGUUUGUGGGAUACCCAGGCAACUACCACACCUUGUUUGGAGUCCGCAAUGAGGAGGUGAGUGUGCCUGAGGCCCGGGACUGGGGGAUGAGCUGUGUGCUUCCUCUCGCUUCCAUUCGAGCUUUGAUUUGCAGCAAUUCCUCCCGCCACCGGCUACUUCCAUCGCCCAGCCAGGGCCAGCUGUGCAGCUGACCACUCAGGGCUCCCAGCCUCUCUUCACCACUUAUUCUGACCCCCGAUAUGCCCCAUUCAGAACCACACCCAAAACACUCCAGGCCGGGCACAGCGGCUCACGCCUGU
rnacentral:sRNA from 1 species